rnacentral:rRNA from 1 species
AGAGUUUGAUCCUGGCUCAGGACGAACGCUGGCGGCACGCUUAACACAUGCAAGUCGAACGGAGAACAUUGAGCUUGCUUAAUGUUCUUAGUGGCGGACGGGUGAGUAACACGUGAGUAACCUGCCUCUGAGAGUGGGAUAGCUUCUGGAAACGGAUGGUAAUACCGCAUAACAUCAUGGAUUCGCAUGUUUCUAUGAUCAAAGAUUUAUCGCUUAGAGAUGGACUCGCGUCUGAUUAGCUAGUUGGUAAGGUAACGGCUUACCAAGGCGACGAUCAGUAGCCGACCUGAGAGGGUGACCGGCCACAUUGGGACUGAGACACGGCCCAGACUCCUACGGGAGGCAGCAGUGGGGAAUAUUGCACAAUGGGGGAAACCCUGAUGCAGCGAUGCCGCGUGGAGGAAGAAGGUUUUCGGAUUGUAAACUCCUGUUGAAGAGGACGAUAAUGACGGUACUCUUUUAGAAAGCUCCGGCUAACUACGUGCCAGCAGCCGCGGUAAUACGUAGGGAGCGAGCGUUGUCCGGAAUUACUGGGUGUAAAGGGAGCGUAGGCGGGAUGGCAAGUCAGAUGUGAAAACUAUGGGCUCAACCCAUAGACUGCAUUUGAAACUGUUGUUCUUGAGUGAGGUAGAGGUAAGCGGAAUUCCUGGUGUAGCGGUGAAAUGCGUAGAGAUCAGGAGGAACAUCGGUGGCGAAGGCGGCUUACUGGGCCUUUACUGACGCUGAGGCUCGAAAGCGUGGGGAGCAAACAGGAUUAGAUACCCUGGUAGUCCACGCCGUAAACG